UUACGGUCGCAUCACGUUGACCACACAAGUUCCGGUACGAUAUCUGAAGUUAAGCAACAUUGAACCUGGUCAGUACCUAGAUGGGUGACCGCUUGGGAAUACUAGGUACUGUGA